rnacentral:SRP_RNA from 1 species
GCCAGGAGCAGUGGCACGUGCCUGUAGUCCCAGGUACUCGGGAGGCUGAGGCUGAAGGAUCGCUUGAGUCCAGGAGUUCUGGGCUGUAGUGCACCAUGCCGAUCGGGUGUCCGCACUAAGUUCGGCAUCAAUAUGAUGACCUCCUGGAAGUGGGGGACCACCAGGUUGCCUAAGGAGGGAUGAACCGGCCCAGGUCAGAAACCGAACAGGUCAAAUUCCCGUACUGAUCAGUAAUGGGAUCGUGCCUGUGAAUAGCCACUGAACUUCAGCCUGAGCAACAUAGCGAGACCCUGUCUCU